AAGUCCACCCCUGUCAAGGUGGCCCAGUGAGGAAUCGAACUCCUAACCUCUGGCUCUAUAGCCAGAGACCUAAACCACUGAGCUAUCUGGGACUGCCACUGGCGAGCUUGUGGAAUUUUUGGAAAAGGCUCCCCCAACUCACUUUCCAAGGUUCCCAAAAGCUUUCCCAAGAGGUGUGGCAGCUGGCAAGUGAGCAAGAAGAAGAGAGGAAGAGGCUCGGCAGCAAGGUGAUGGCAGGGUGGCCUAGACAGUGAUGAAGUGAUCAAAGCAGCAGCAACAACAGGGCCCUAGUUAUUCUGCCUAAUGAGAGGACUCACCCUGAAAAUGGAAAUGGUUGAGCACAAUGACACAGAAAACAUAGCCUGAGCCAGCAUCAGAAGAAAAAACAUCUGGUGAAACAGGGUAACCGUGCAGAAAUGCUAUGUCACAGGGCAGUGACACAAACAACUCUUCUUUCACUGGAAAAGAUAAACAGGCCUUCAAGCAUUACUGCCCCCCCCUUUUUUUCAAGGGACAAGGAAUAUGUGGCCACCUGCACAGAUAAGGACUGCUGAGGAAACCAGGCAGGCCAGAAAUCACUCAGAUGGUUUUGAGUUCAUCAGACAAUCUAACAGUUAAGGCUGGGUCAUGAACUGCAUGUUGAGUUAAGCAGGGAAUCCAGAAUCAUGGGACAGGGCAGUAGUAACCACAGGCAGGGUUAAGAAACAAGCUAAACAUCACUGAAAAACAAAUCAAAAGAUAAGCAGAAUGCAAGGGAAACAACCAAGAGCAAAGUGUGUGGCUGGCCCUGCCAUUAGGCUGGGUGAGGUGGUCACCUCAGGUGAUUAAGCAUUGGUUGUGGUGAGUGCACCACUCCUUCAUAAGCAAACGUAGAUGUGAUGGGAACAGUGCUGCUAUGCAUGUGCUACUUGAUAAAGACA